rnacentral:rRNA from 1 species
GUAGGUGGCAAGCGUCGUCCGGAAUUAUUGGGCGUAAAGCGCGCGCAGGCGGUUCUUUAAGUCUGAUGCGAAAGCCCACGGCUCAACCGUGGAGGGUCAUUGGAAACUGGAGAACUUGAGUACAGAAGAGGAAAGCGGAAUUCCACGUGUAGCGGUGAAAUGCGUAGAGAUGUGGAGGAACACCAGUGGCGAAGGCGGCUUUCUGGUCUGUAACUGACGCUGAGGCGCGAAAGCGUGGGGAGCAAACAGGAUUAGAUACCCUGGUAGUCCACGCCGUAAACGAUGAGUGCUAAGUGUUAGGGGGGUUUCCGCCCCCCUUAGUGCUGCAGCUAACGCAUUAAGCACUCCGCCCUGGGAGUACGGCCGCAAGGCUG